CACCCCAGUACCGAGCAAUUCUAUACUGCUAUAGAACCUUUUAUGUUAAAACUAGUAACAAGAAAACCCCCUUCUCUUUAAUGCAAGUUUAAGUCAGCCAGGAAAACCCACUGACAAUUAACAACCUUGAGCCCACAGUAGAAACACUACAAGAAAACCCUACUCAUAUUCUAUGUUAACCUUACACCAGAGCAUUACAAGAAAGAUUAAAAGAAAAAGAAGGAACUCGGCAAAUAUUAACCCCGCCUGUUUACCAAAAACAUCGCCUCUUGACACCCAUAAGAGGUCCAGCCUGCCAGUGACUCUGUUCAACGGCCGCGGUAUCCUAACCGUGCGAAGGUAGCGUAAUCACUUGUUCUUUAAAUGAGGACUAGUAUGAAUGGCACCACGAGGUUAUACUGUCUCCUUUUUCUAAUCAGUGAAACUAAUCUUCCGUGAAGAAGCGGGAAUAAAAAUAUAAGACGAGAAGACCCUAUGAGCUUAAACAAACAUACAACUGCCUUCUUUUAUAACUAUUUCAGAAGAAAACUUUUAUUUAGGCAUUUUGAUAUAGAGUUUUAGGUUGGGGUGACCACGGAGUAAAAAACAACCUCCGCAAUGAAGGGGGCUUUUCCCCUAAGCUAAGAGCUACAACCCUAAGAAUCAAAAAAUUGACACCAAUUGACCCAAUAUACUUGAUCAAUGAACCAAGUUACCCUAGGGAUAACAGCGCAAUCCACUUCAAGAGCCCCUAUCGACAAGUGGGUUUACGACCUCGAUGUUGGAUCAGGGUAUCCUAGUGGUGCAGCCGCUACUAACGGUUCGUUUGUUCAACGAUU
rnacentral:rRNA from 1 species